GCUGACUGCAGAGAGGUUGGAACCAGAUGAUCUUUACAGUCCCUUCCAACCCAAUCUGUUCCAUGAUUUUAUGAUCACUAGCAAAACCUUCUUUGGUUUGGAAAGCAAACCAAAUCCAGCACUGAGCCCAGCCCUCACAACUCACAGCACCCAUUUCCCUUUCAUCGUGGCAUCAGGAAGGCAGCGUGAAAGUAAGAAAAUCUCUGCGACAGGGGAGGGAGGGCUUGUUUUUUCCCUUCCUGGUUGUAUGGCCCAUAUGGUUAUCGAGUUAUGGGAAAAUCUGGCUGCCCAAACAGGUGUCACCGCUCCCAACCCACAGACUCAUUUCCUGAUCGCGUCUUAAUCGGCAAGUUGGUUGUGAAAGUUGAUUUCUUGCACAUUCUUAUAUCAGUGGGAAUUUCUGCCCUUCCCUGACAAGUAUUAUAGGCAGCCUUUGACAUACAGCCCUACAGGACCUAAAUAGGCUGCUAUUCUUUCCCUACACUGAAAGGGAGCUUUGUGCCAGGGAUUCAUUAAACUGCACUGCACAGCCCUUCAUAAAUGGGCUCAAUAAUGAACAGUCGAUUUAACUGGAAAAGCUGCUGGAGCUGUUAAAUUAAAGGGAAAUAAAGUGCACUUCAAGCUCAGUCUGCCAGAAGAAAAUGUUGACCUAAAAAAAAAAAAAAUCUUUAUUUUACUCAAUCUCUUGCAAACAGGCUAAAAUCUUCAGGAAGUUUAUACUCACAACAGUGGGAACAAUUUUAAAACAUACCAGUUUGCUUCCCCACUAAUAAAGAAAGAAGAAUUGCAAUAAAAUACUCAAUAAAAUCAGGAUAGAUGAAAGGCAUAUUCUACUUAAGCCAAAUUUAGUCUCCUUAACACAAAUUUCGUAUUUGUAUGUAGAUCCCUCCUCCCAUCAACUUUAUAUAGGCAAAGUUCCCACUGGAGCUGAGUUCUUAAAGUCAUUAGGGAGAUACUUUAUUUCCAGUUUGCCAAUAUUUUCUGAAAUUCUGGGGUGCUAUGCAGUCCAGUCCUUCAGUGCUCAGUUCUGGGAUCAUGUUGCUCAUAAGGCAGUGGUUGUUUUGCCCAUGUGAGGUGUGCAGGACUCAGCUGAAAAACAGGCACACAUGAGGGAUGACAUUUAAUCUUCUGAAUGAAUACAAAAGUCCAUCAUUCAGCUGAGCCUGACCCAACUCUUGGUUUUAGAAGAGUGGAAUUCCUUAUUUCAGUGAGGUUACUACAGUGUAAACCUGGAGCAGUGAAUCAGCUCUUCCAUCACAGCCAUCUCACUCUCUUUCAUCUGGACAGUCUUAAAUACUGUUCCUCAGCUGUGUUCUGUACUUUAUAUAUGAAAUAUUGUGAAGAGAAUCCAUCUGUGUGAAGGUAGACUGGAAGCUUAAGGACAAGAAGAUCAGAAGAAGCAUGCAAUGGGGAAGGGACCAUGUCCAAAUCUAAUUCCUGGGGCAGCUGAUCUGAACAAAGAAACUUCAGCACCAGCUUAAAAACACUUCUGUUGCUUUCACAUUUCACAUUGUAGCUAUUUUUUCCUUACAUAAACUUCCUGAUUGGAGAAACCCUCAUCUUCUUCAUACUAUUGUGAUUUUUUUUCAAAUCUUGUAUAUAAUAUAUAAAGUGAUGGCAGCAGGUUUUCAGCUCUUUGCUGAAGCUACCUUCAGUGGGUUUAGUAUUUUUUCAUACUCUGAAAACAUGGAGCAUUCAGGAAGAAUGCUGAAAUUAACUGAAAUAUGUUAGUCUUCCACCUAAAUUGUCCAUAAUUAUUUAAAGUUUGAUUAUAAAUUACCUGGAGUAGAUCAAAAUCCCACAAGAAUUGCAAAAUCGUGAACUUGUCUGUCCAAAAAAUAGUGCAUUUGAGAAGUUGAUAAGCCACCUCUUGUGCUGGUGACUCACCACUGCAAGAGCUGUGUGAAAAACACCACUUGCAUCUUCAGGAAAGAGCACUGGGGGUUGAAAUUGUAAUUUUGUUUCAUUAAGUCCUGCUCAUAAUCCGGCACUUGGCUACUGGUAGAAAUAUACAAUGAGGAAACAUUUAAAAAUACAUAAAAAUAAUAAGAAAAUAAACCACUUUUCAUACUAUUGAGAAAUUUUUUUUUUUUUCCCCCUCAGUUCUUGUGUAUUCCUUGAAAUUUUCAGGGUUUUGUCUUCACUCAGAGACAUUUUUGAAGGUAAAUGUGUGGGGGUAGGCAUUGAACUCCUGCCUUUAUUUCUCUAGUAGUGGAGGGUGCUGCUUGGAAGAAAUGUGAAAUGCCAUCAGACAGCAAGUAAUGUAAAGCCCUGCCUUGUUUGCUGCAAACUACCUUCCCUCUAAUGUUUUUUUGCUUGGCAGGAACCAGUUUGUUUGAUCUCCUGGUUCCUGACAGGCUUUGAGAUGCUACAUGGCUUUGAGACGGGGCUACACGGCUUUGGGGAGGACAAGAGCUCCUCAAACCUUACCUGAUGCAAAUAGCGAGGAUUUAAAAACGCUGGGAAACAGCCCUCAUGUAUCUCAAAAUGGCCACUGAAACCAAAGGUGUUCGGUGUUUCUCAGAUGUCUGGCCAUGCACCAUCCACAACACGGGGGGGAGCACAGGAGGGCCGGGUGCUGUCUGUGGUGUGCUCACGGUCAUGCACAGCUUGGCAACAGUGUUCAGAAAGAAGCCUUCUCUUUCACUACUUACACUCUGAAGUAAGGACCUGGUCCAAUUCCCAGUGAAGCCAUUUCCACUGAAUUUCAUUAACUGAUGAAUAACACUGGUUGAUGGAUCUAAUUUUCAGAAUUGCUGAGCAUCAACAAUUCCUGUGAGUCUGGUGAGCCAGUCCCUGUUUCUGCCCUCAUCUGUGAAUAAUCAAUUUUCUUGAGGCAGGAAACCUCAUGCCAAAAUCUUCAUCUGAUUUGUGGCAUCUUCCCUCCAUGUAGCUAUGAACUGAACUCUGUUUGUCCUUCCAGCUCUCCCAUGGCCUGGGAUCAGCACUCUCUCCUACUCUGGGCAGCUCUCACAUGAUGCUUCAGCCAUGCUGACUCGGAGGUGACUCCUCGUUGACUUGGAGGUGAUUUUCAGGGGUUCCCAGCUGGAGGAUGGAGGGUUUGUUUGCUGCCCACCCUCCCUUGGAUGACCUGGGCAAGGAUCUUGGUGUUCCCUCAGUGUGGAGCCACAGGAGGAGCCUGGCUGUGCCAGCCUGAAUGGGCACGGCCAUCGCCACAGCCGUGAUCCAGCUCAGCAAGGACCUCGAUAAGGACCGCGAGGCACUGCGCACCAGAUUGCCAAAUACAGACACUGACAACCAAACAAGAAACACCCAAAAAGCCAUUGAUUGUGGCUAUCAAAGAGGACCCUACAUGAUCUCAGCCCUAAUCUCUUAUUCAUGGGGAGAAACAGGUAGCUUGAGAGUAAUUUCCCUGCCCUGUUUCAGUGAUGCUGCUGACCUUGUUUUCCUGCUGACCUUGAAAAGGGCCCUAUAAUCAAUCUAAUCAAACUAGUCUCAACCAGAUCUGAAGAGCUCAGGGCACCUCCCAACUUGUCCCAGCAUCCAUUGGAGCUACAAGUGUCAAACCAGUGCAGGAAGUUGCCCAAAAUGUCCUGAAAAUGGUUUUUAGAAACUCAGAGUUCACCACACUCCUUUUUGAGGGGGGAAACUCGCAUCCAGUAACUGCUAUUAUUCAUUGCAGGUUUAAACUGGCCUGGGACCAAAGCUGGAAAGGGAAAAAGCACAGACCAUCUCUCUCCCCAAAAUCUCCAAGUCAUCUAAUCCCUCCUACUCCCAUUUUUAGGCUUAGCUUGUCUAUUAAUACACCAAAAUAUCCAUAACUAGCCUCAUGCCAAGAAUGUACAGACACUACAACAAAUAGUUGCCAGAUGUAGUAAGCCUUGUUCAUAUGGCUGGAUGCUCAGGAAAAUGAAAGUGAGGAAAAGCCUUAUCUUCUAAACAACUUUUAAUCAUUUUUUGUGGGCCUAUGAACGGGAUUUUUAAGAAAGAUCUGAAUGGGAAUAUGAAGCAGUCAUUCAGCUUGGAUGGGGAGACUCACCAAUAGUGACAAAAUUCAACCUUCUGGUGGCACCACAAGGAGGAAGAAUAGAAUCCACUGGAAAACCCUGAGGGAUGAGAGGAUUCAGACUACAUCCUCAGACACAGACAAGGUGGGCACUUUUGCCAAUGACUCAAGCCAGUUCUGAGCCCGACACCCUCACAAACAGCCAGACAUGAAAGUAUGGAAAUAUAAACACUGUGCACUCAAUUUUGCCCAGAGGAAGUUAUUUAGACCUGUUUGGAGUACAUCUAGUGAUAUUUUUGUGCAAGAUACCAUCUUUGAGCCA